GAUGAAGAACGCAGCGAAAUGCGAUACUUGGUGUGAAUUGCAGAAUCCCGUGAACCAUCGAGUCUUUGAACGCAAGUUGCGCCUCAAGCCAUUAGGUUGAGGGCACGUCUGCCUGGGCGUCACAUAUCGUUGCCUGAUGCCAGUUUCCUCGUGAUGGGUGACUGUGCAGGGCGAAUGAUGGCUUCCCGUGAGCAUUGUUGCCUCAUGGUUGGUUGAAAAUUGAGUCCUUGGUAGGGAGCGCCGUGAUAGAUGGUGGUUGAGUGACGAACGAGACCCAAUCAUGUGAGACCCCUACCGAAUUCUGCCUUCAUGACCCACAUGCGUCUUUGGAACGCUCAUGACGAGACCUCAGGUCAGGCGGGGCUACCCGCUGAGUUUAAGCAUAUCAAUAAGCGGAGGA
rnacentral:misc_RNA from 1 species